rnacentral:rRNA from 1 species
UACGUAGGGUGCAAGCGUUAAUCGGAAUUACUGGGCGUAAAGCGUGCGUAGGCGGUUAUGUAAGACAGAUGUGAAAUCCCUGGGCUUAACCUAGGAACUGCAUUUGUGACUGCAUUGCUAGAGUGUGGUAGAGGGAGAUGGAAUUCCGCAUGUAGCAGUGAAAUGCGUAGAUAUGCGGAGGAACACCAAUGGCGAAGGCAAUCCCCUGGACCUGUACUGACGCUCAUGCACGAAAGCGUGGGGAGCAAACAGG